AUUGAACGCUGGCGGCAGGCUUAACACAUGCAAGUCGAACGAGUGGCGGACGGGUGAGUAAUGCUUGGGAAUCUAGCUUAUGGAGGGGGAUAACUACGGGAAACUGUAGCUAAUACCGCGUACCAUAGGAUGAGCCCAAGUGGGAUUAGGUAGUUGGUGAGGUAAAGGCUCACCAAGCCGACGAUCUCUAGCUGGUAUGAGAGGAUGACCAGCCAGACUGGGACUGAGACACGGCCCAGACUCCUAGGGGAGGCAGCAGUGGGGAAUAGUGCGCAAGGGGGGGAGACAGACGCAGCCAUGCCGCGAGAAUGAAGAAGGAAUUCGGGUUGUAAAGUGAUGUUGGUAGGGAGGCGUUAACAACAGAAGAAGCAACGGCUAACUCCGUGCCAGCAGCCGCGGUAAUAC
rnacentral:rRNA from 1 species